rnacentral:rRNA from 1 species
GGUUUAAUUCGAAGCAACGCGAAGAACCUUACCAGGUCUUGACAUCCCUCUGACCGCUCUAGAGAUAGAGUUUUCCUUCGGGACAGAGGUGACAGGUGGUGCAUGGUUGUCGUCAGCUCGUGUCGUGAGAUGUUGGGUUAAGUCCCGCAACGAGCGCAACCCCUAUUGUUAGUUGCCAUCAUUCAGUUGGGCACUCUAGCGAGACUGCCGGUAAUAAACCGGA